rnacentral:rRNA from 1 species
GCCAGACUCCUACGGGAGGCAGCAGUGAGGAAUAUUGGUCAAUGGGCUUACGCCUGAACCAGCCAAGUCGCGUGAGGGAAGACUGCCCUAUGGGUUGUAAACCUCUUUUGUCAGGGAGCAAAGGGCGCCACGUGUGGCGUUUUGCGAGUACCUGAAGAAAAAGCAUCGGCUAACUCCGUGCCAGCAGCCGCGGUAAUACGGAGGAUGCGAGCGUUAUCCGGAUUUAUUGGGUUUAAAGGGUGCGCAGGCGGAAUGUCAAGUCAGCGGUAAAAUUUCGGGGCUCAACCCCGUCGUGCCGUUGAAACUGGCGUUCUUGAGUGAGCGAGAAGUAUGCGGAAUGCGUGGUGUAGCGGUGAAAUGCAUAGAUAUCACGCAGAACUCCGAUUGCGAAGGCAGCAUGCCGGCUCCACACUGACGCUGAGGCACGAAAGCGUGGGUAUCGAACAGGAUUAGAUACCCUUGUA